UAUUAUUAAGUUUAUUUAAUUGGGGUGAUUAGAAAAUAAUAAAAACUUUUCUUUAAAUUUAAUAUUAUUAAUAAUUAUGUGAUCCAUAUUUAAUGAUUAAAAGAUUAAAUUACCUUAGGGAUAACAGCAUAAUUCUUUUUAAGAGUUCAUAUCGAAAAAGGAGAUUGUGACCUCGAUGUUGGAUUAAGAUUAGUUUUGGGUGUAGAUGUUUAAUAACUAGGUCUGUUCGACCUUAAAAUUCUUACA
rnacentral:rRNA from 1 species